rnacentral:rRNA from 1 species
AGGGUUUGAUCCUGGCUCAGAAUGAACGCUGGCGGCGUGGCUAAGACAUGCAAGUCGAACGAACCAUUUAUGGUUAGUGGCGAAAGGGUUAGUAAUGGUUAGGUAACGUACCCCAUGCUUCAGGAUAGCGUCAGUUACUUCGGUAACUUUCCGAAAGGGGCGGUAAUACUGAAUAAUAUCAUAGGUUGAUAGACUUAUGAUCAAAGAUUUAUCGACGUGGGAGCGGCCUAAUUCCUAUCAGCUUGUUGGUGAGGUAAUGGCUCACCAAGGCUAUGACGGGUAGCGGGACUGAGAGGUUGGCCCGCAACAUCGGGACUGAGACACUGCCCGGACCUCCACGGAGGGCUGCAGUAACGAAUAUUGGGCAAUGGGCGAAAGCCUGACCCAGCGACGCCGCGUGUAGGAGGAAGUCCUUCGGGAUGUAAACUACUUUUCGGAGUAAGAAAGUCUUCGGACUGAUCUAAUCCGGAAUAAGUCACGGCUAACUUCGUGCCAGCAGCCGCGGUAAUACGAAGGUGGCAAGCGUUAUUCGGUAUCACUGGGCUUAAAGCGUGUGUAGGUGGAAAAGUAAGUGUUUUGUGAAAGCCCUCGGCUCAACCGAGGAAUUGCUUAGCAUACUGCUUUUCUUGAGGCAAGUAGGGGUACGUGGAACUCUUGGUGGAGCGGUGGAAUGCGUAGAUAUCAAGAGGAACGCCGAUGGUGAAGACAAUGUACUGGACUUGUCCUGACACUCAGACACGAAAGCGUGGGGAGCAAACAGGAUUAGAUACCCUGGUAGUCCACGCUGUAAACGAUGCCUACUAGGUCGUGGGAGUUCUGACGCUUUCACGGCCGAAGCAAAAGUGCUAAGUAGGCCGCCUGGGGAGUACGGUCGCAAGGCUAAAACUCAAAGGAAUUGACGGGGGCUCACACAAGCGGUGGAGCAUGUGGAUUAAUUCGAACCAACGCGCAGAACCUUACCUGGGUUUGACAUGCUUGGAUGCCCUUCUGGAAACAGAAGUAAGCUGCCCUUCGGGGUGAAACUUGCACAGGUGCUGCAUGGCUGUCGUCAGCUCGUGUCGUGAGAUGUCGGGUUAAGUCCUUUAACGAGCGAAACCCUUACCGUUAGUUGCCAGCGCGUCAUGGCGGGGACUCUAACGGGACUGCCGGUGUUAAACCGGAGGAAGGUGGGGAUGACGUCAAGUCCUCAUGGCCUUUAUGCCCAGGGCUUCACACGUGCUACAAUGGUCGAUACAGAGCGACGCAAGACCGCGAGGUGGAGCAAAUCGCAAAAAGUCGGCCCCAGUUCGGAUUGCAGGCUGGCAACUCGCCUGCAUGAAGGUGGAAUCGCUAGUAAUCGCGUGUCAGCUAUAACGCGGUGAAUGUGUUCCUGAGCCUUGUACACACCGCCCGUCAAGUGAUGGGAGUUGGAGUACCCGAAGUCGGAUUGCUAACCCAGUUUACUGGGAGGCGUCUGCCGACGGUAAGCCCGAUGACUGGCACUAAGUCGAAACAAGGUA